rnacentral:tRNA from 1 species
ACUUGAAUAGCUUAUAGUAAGAGCGCGACACUGAAGAUGUUGAUGAGGUGUUUAUACCUUUAAGUA